AUGUUAUUGCUGGAUUCAUAACGUUUAGUAUCCAGACAUUUUCAUGUUCUACACUAUGAGAUAAAAUCUGCUUUUCCUGAAGAAGGUGCCCUUACAUUACUUCUGUAAGCUAGAUUAAGCUUGCAGGUACAAGUCACCAUCUGCCAUAGUUCCACCUGUAUUUUGCCUGCAUUAGUAGAGGACACAAACCACUGAAGGGGAGAUAGAUGUCCUGGGUUUCUCUGGGGGCCUGGAGCUGAGGGAUGGCAUAGUGUGGACAAUCAGCGGUGCCCAGAUCACACCCCAGCUGCCCUGUUGUCAGUGCAGGACUUGGACCACUCAUGACAAUGCCAUCCAUCCUUGUCCUGAUGGCAUUCAGCUCCUUCAGAGAUGACCUGGAGACAUGUCAGUGGCUUGGACUCAGCAGCAGCAGAAGUUGCACAAAUUGUUCUUUCAUCAUGGCUGCUGUGGCUGCAGUCUUGGCUUUGGCUUCAGUGAUCCCAUAAGUAGAAGCAGAGAGCAGAGCUGGAGCUCUCUGAAAAGAUCCUUCCUCUGGAAAAGAGACACAAAAUCAGGAAGUGGGGAGUGCUGUCAGCCGAAGAGUAGCAAGGCAUGUCUCCUUUGUAAAGCUAUGACAUCCAUCUUCUCAGGAGAUGAACACUCACAGUUUAGAAAAAUCUGCUGCUGUUUUAAACUCUCCAUAUAGACAAAUGCAGUGAAAAUGGAAAAGGAAUGUGCAUCACACAACUUGUGUAUUGUAUCUUCUAGAUAACUGUAAACUCAGUGAAAUGCAGUGCAUGCAUCAAAAGCUUUGAUGGUAGGCUUUUCUCAUAUUCAACAAUGAAAAUGGGGGAAAAAAGCCUAAAAAUGUGACUGCAAGGACAAGUUCCCCCCCAAGUACAAAGUGCAGUGAUGGUGAUGUACAUGAAAGGAAUUAAAUCACUAUUUCAUCCCAUCAAUGG